UACUUUCCUUUAAUUUAAUAAAUUCAGAUAAUAAUGAGUUCCUCGUACAACUUUGUUUUGGAUGGCAGUGAAAGUGGAGUAAGCUACGAAAAUAGUCCAAAUUACAGAUUAGCAGGAAAAAGUAUUUCAAAUAAUCAGUGCAAUCAUUCCGGUAAUCCAAAAUGAAUGAGAUGACGAAAAGUGAUCAUUAAGAAGCGGAAAUUAUUCCCUUAAGCAACGAAAUUUUGUUGUAAAGGGACUAGUUUGCGGAGAGGCACACAAAGAGAAAUUGACGCUGCCAAGUGCAUCAAACGCUACGCUUGGGAACUUUAAGGCAUUUGAAGACUGUCUGAUCAUUGAAUUAGUCGCAAACUCUGAAAAACUUACGACAAAUUCAUCGGAUGCUCCUGGCGCCAGAUAAUAAGAGACGAUGUUGCAAAACAAUGCUCCUGGCGUGGGAUAGAGAAGAAAAUGUGUGUUAGAGGACUUCGAACCAGAUUAGCCAAACGGAGUAGGUCAUACUUUUAUAACUUGUAUAUGUGCAAAUUACUAUUAUUUUGUUAAUGUCUACAUAUGCAUUUAAACAAAAGUUUGCGCUGGAAGACGGCGAUUUUGAGUGCGUAACACAAACAUUUUUUCAAUACGCGUAGGAAAGAGUGGCGAGGUUAGAAAAGUCGGAUGCCAAAAAUAUGGAAAUAAAUAUUUUUAGUAAAAAUAUUUUAAUAAUGUAAAGAACUUUUUUUUUUAUAAUUUUUAAGUUGCCAAAGUGCGUUAAAAUUUUAAGAUAUGUUAAAAUGUUAAUUAUUUUUAAAAUGAAAUUAGAAUUAAAAAUUAUAAGAUAUACAAGAGCUAGAGAC